CCUGGCUCAGGAUGAACGCUAGCUACAGGCUUAACACAUGCAAGUCGAGGGGCAGCAUGGUCUUAGCUUGCUAAGACUGAUGGCGACCGGCGCACGGGUGAGUAACACGUAUCCAACCUGCCGUCUACUCUUGGACAGCCUUCUGAAAGGAAGAUUAAUACAAGAUGGCAUCAUGAGUCCGCAUGUUCACAUGAUUAAAGGUAUUCCGGUAGACGAUGGGGAUGCGUUCCAUUAGAUAGUAGGCGGGGUAACGGCCCACCUAGUCUUCGAUGGAUAGGGGUUCUGAGAGGAAGGUCCCCCACAUUGGAACUGAGACACGGUCCAAACUCCUACGGGAGGCAACAGUGAGGAAUAUUGGUCAAUGGGCGAGAGCCUGAACCAGCCAAGUAGCGUGAAGGAUGACUGCCCUAUGGGUUGUAAACUUCUUUUAUAAAGGAAUAAAGUCGGGUAUGGAUACCCGUUUGCAUGUACUUUAUGAAUAAGGAUCGGCUAACUCCGUGCCAGCAGCCGCGGUAAUACGGAGGAUCCGAGCGUUAUCCGGAUUUAUUGGGUUUAAAGGGAGCGUAGAUGGAUGUUUAAGUCAGUUGUGAAAGUUUGCGGCUCAACCGUAAAAUUGCAGUUGAUACUGGAUAUCUUGAGUGCAGUUGAGGCAGGCGGAAUUCGUGGUGUAGCGGUGAAAUGCUUAGAUAUCACGAAGAACUCCGAUUGCGAAGGCAGCCUGCUAAGCUGCAACUGACAUUGAGGCUCGAAAGUGUGGGUAUCAAACAGGAUUAGAUACCCUGGUAGUCCACACGGUAAACGAUGAAUACUCGCUGUUUGCGAUAUACUGCAAGCGGCCAAGCGAAAGCGUUAAGUAUUCCACCUGGGGAGUACGCCGGCAACGGUGAAACUCAAAGGAAUUGACGGGGGCCCGCACAAGCGGAGGAACAUGUGGUUUAAUUCGAUGAUACGCGAGGAACCUUACCCGGGCUUAAAUUGCAGAUGAAUUACGGUGAAAGCCGUAAGCCGCAAGGCAUCUGUGAAGGUGCUGCAUGGUUGUCGUCAGCUCGUGCCGUGAGGUGUCGGCUUAAGUGCCAUAACGAGCGCAACCCUUGUUGUCAGUUACUAACAGGUUCCGCUGAGGACUCUGACAAGACUGCCAUCGUAAGAUGUGAGGAAGGUGGGGAUGACGUCAAAUCAGCACGGCCCUUACGUCCGGGGCUACACACGUGUUACAAUGGGGGGUACAGAGGGCCGCUACCACGCGAGUGGAUGCCAAUCCCCAAAACCUCUCUCAGUUCGGACUGGAGUCUGCAACCCGACUCCACGAAGCUGGAUUCGCUAGUAAUCGCGCAUCAGCCACGGCGCGGUGAAUACGUUCCCGGGCCUUGUACACACCGCCC
rnacentral:rRNA from 1 species